AGCAGCCGCGGUAAUUCCAGCUCCAAUAGCGUAUAUUAAAGUUGUUGCAGUUAAAAAGCUCGUAGUUGAAUUUCGGGAUUAGUACGCUGGUCGUGCCUUCGGUAUGUACUGGUGUUACUGGUUCCUACCUUCUGACGAACCGUCAUGUCAUUAAUUUGGUGUGGCGGGAAACCAGGACUGUUACUUUGAAAAAAUUAGAGUGUUUAAAGCAGGCUCGCGCUUGAAUACAUUAGCAUGGAAUAAUGAAAUAGGACGUUCGAUCCUAUUUUGUUGGUUUCUAGGAUUGACGUAAUGAUUAGUAGGGAUAGUUGGGGGCAUUAGUAUUCAAUUGUCAGAGGUGAAAUUCUUGGAUUUAUUGAAGACUAACUACUGCGAAAGCAUUUGCCAAGGAUGUUUUCAUUAAUCAAGAACGAAAGUUAGGGGAUCGAAGACGAUCAGAUACCGUCGUAG
rnacentral:rRNA from 1 species